rnacentral:rRNA from 1 species
GACAGAGGUGCCGAGCGUUAGGCGGAAUCACUGGGCUUAAAGCGUGUGUAGGCGGGCGGGCAAGUACCUUGUGAAAUCCCACGGCUCAACCGUGGAACGGCUGGGUAUACUGCCUGUCUUGAGCCAACUAGGGGCGAGCGGAACAGACGGUGGAGCGGUGAAAUGCGUAGAUAUCGUCUGGAACGCCAAAGGUGAAAACAGGUUGCUGGGGUUGUGCCGACGCUGAGACACGAAAGCCAGGGGAGCAAACGGG